ACGGGUGAGUAACACGUGAGCAACCUGCCCCUGACUCUGGGAUAAGCGCUGGAAACGGCGUCUAAUACUGGAUAUGUGACGUGACCGCAUGGUCUGCGUCUGGAAAGAAUUUCGGUUGGGGAUGGGCUCGCGGCCUAUCAGCUUGUUGGUGAGGUAAUGGCUCACCAAGGCGUCGACGGGUAGCCGGCCUGAGAGGGUGACCGGCCACACUGGGACUGAGACACGGCCCAGACUCCUACGGGAGGCAGCAGUGGGGAAUAUUGCACAAUGGGCGAAAGCCUGAUGCAGCAACGCCGCGUGAGGGAUGACGGCCUUCGGGUUGUAAACCUCUUUUAGCAGGGAAGAAGCGAAAGUGACGGUACCUGCAGAAAAAGCGCCGGCUAACUACGUGCCAGCAGCCGCGGUAAUACGUAGGGCGCAAGCGUUAUCCGGAAUUAUUGGGCGUAAAGAGCUCGUAGGCGGUUUGUCGCGUCUGCUGUGAAAUCCGGAGGCUCAACCUCCGGCCUGCAGUGGGUACGGGCAGACUAGAGUGCGGUAGGGGAGAUUGGAAUUCCUGGUGUAGCGGUGGAAUGCGCAGAUAUCAGGAGGAACACCGAUGGCGAAGGCAGAUCUCUGGGCCGUAACUGACGCUGAGGAGCGAAAGGGUGGGGAGCAAACAGGCUUAGAUACCCUGGUAGUCCACCCCGUAAACGUUGGGAACUAGUUGUGGGGUCCAUUCCACGGAUUCCGUGACGCAGCUAACGCAUUAAGUUCCCCGCCUGGGGAGUACGGCCGCAAGGCUAAAACUCAAAGGAAUUGACGGGGACCCGCACAAGCGGCGGAGCAUGCGGAUUAAUUCGAUGCAACGCGAAGAACCUUACCAAGGCUUGACAUAUACGAGAACGGGCCAGAAAUGGUCAACUCUUUGGACACUCGUAAACAGGUGGUGCAUGGUUGUCGUCAGCUCGUGUCGUGAGAUGUUGGGUUAAGUCCCGCAACGAGCGCAACCCUCGUUCUAUGUUGCCAGCACGUAAUGGUGGGAACUCAUGGGAUACUGCCGGGGUCAACUCGGAGGAAGGUGGGGAUGACGUCAAAUCAUCAUGCCCCUUAUGUCUUGGGCUUCACGCAUGCUACAAUGGCCGGUACAAAGGGCUGCAAUACCGCGAGGUGGAGCGAAUCCCAAAAAGCCGGUCCCAGUUCGGAUUGAGGUCUGCAACUCGACCUCAUGAAGUCGGAGUCGCU
rnacentral:rRNA from 1 species